UUAAGUCGACCGCCUGGGGAGUACGGCCGCAAGGUUAAAACUCAAAUGAAUUGACGGGGGCCCGCACAAGCGGUGGAGCAUGUGGUUUAAUUCGAUGCAACGCGAAGAACCUUACCUGGUCUUGACAUCCACGGAAGUUUUCAGAGAUGAGAAUGUGCCUUCGGGAACCGUGAGACAGGUGCUGCAUGGCUGUCGUCAGCUCGUGUUGUGAAAUGUUGGGUUAAGUCCCGCAACGAGCGCAACCCUUAUCCUUUGUUGCCAGCGGUCCGGCCGGGAACUCAAAGGAGACUGCCAGUGAUAAACUGGAGGAAGGUGGGGAUGACGUCAAGUCAUCAUGGCCCUUACGACCAGGGCUACACACGUGCUACAAUGGCGCAUACAAAGAGAAGCGACCUCGCGAGAGCAAGCGGACCUCAUAAAGUGCGUCGUAGUCCGGAUUGGAGU
rnacentral:rRNA from 1 species